AUUGAACGCUGGCGGCAUGCCUUACACAUGCAAGUCGAACGGCAGCACGGGUGCUUGCACCUGGUGGCGAGUGGCGAGCGGGUGAGUAAUACAUCGGGACGUACCUUAUCGUGGGGGAUAACGCAGCGAAAGCUGUGCUAAUACCGCAUACGCCCUGAGGGGGAAAGCGGGGGAUCGCAAGACCUCGCGCGAUUAGAGCGGCCGAUGCCUGAUUAGCUUGUUGGUGGGGUAAAAGCCCACCAAGGCGACGAUCAGUAGCUGGGCUGAGAGGACGAUCAGCCACACUGGGACUGAGACAAGGCCCAGACUCCGACGGGAGGCAGCAGUGGGGAAUUUUGGACAAUGGGGGCAACCCUGAUCCAGCAAUGCCGCGUGAGUGAAGAAGGCCUUCGGGUUGUAAAGCUCUUUUGUCAGGGAAGAAACACCGGCUCUAACACAGUCCGGGAAUGACGGUACCUGAAGAAUAAGCACCGGCUAACUACGUGCCAGCCGCCGCCGUAA
rnacentral:rRNA from 1 species